CAAAGGAAUAAAUUGUAUCUUGUCAACACACACACAGGGAGUAAGAAUAAAUUCAUGAUUUGCCUCCAAGGCAAAGGGUAAUUAAAAUUUUUAAAAUAGGCUUUUUUCUUCAGCUUGUUUUAAGUUUUGAUUAAUGAUUAGGUAUCAAAUCAUGGUUAAAUUAUUAGGAACAUAACCUCGUUGGAGUUACCAACAAAUUUUUUGUUUCGAACGGAAUUAAUCAAAUUCACGCGAACGGCUAAAAGCUCCUUUAAACAAGAGAGUAGAAAGCUCUUUGUUUCGUACCAAAGUAAAUGCGAAAUUGACAACUGAAACAAAAGUUUUCCAACUCCUGGAAGACCCUACGAUACCCUGAGAUCUGCUGACAAAAGUCGUAAUACUAACAAUUGCCUUCUAUUGCUCGCAUCUCUUUCACUUAUAUGAAUUUUCAUAUUUGAUUAGUUUACCUUCAACGAUAAGAUUCCCUACUCAACAUUUCUUGGAAAUCUCAGUCUUCGAUUGCUGUAAAUGAGGAUGAUGAAUUUGAAGGUUUUCUUGGGGAUUUUUGCUUUACACAUCGCUGCUGUUUGUUCAGUUUCCUCAGCUGACUCCUGCUUUUCUUAUCCGUUCCACGACGCCAUUUUGGCAAAGGUCUUUACGUCAGAAUUAUCUG